rnacentral:miRNA from 1 species
UAGGUUUGUGCAAAAGCAAUUGCGAUUUUUUCAUUAAAAGUCAAGUAAUGGCAGAAACUGUAAUUACUUUUGCACCAACCUAAUAC